AACAGCAGUGUAAAUACAUCAAAUAUACCGUAUUCGUGAUUCAUGAUAGCAUAUUCAUAAACCACGGUGUUGCUGUAGAAAGUGAUGUGUGAACUUAGUCCUGGCUGAAUUUCUGCAGGUUUCUCCCAAGAUCCAGCAGUUCAGCAGAUGUUUACUGUCGUCACCCUCCACCAUGUUGAAGACGUGGGCCAAGCUGCAGCCGCGGACUGAAACUCUUCUGACGACGCUGGUGUCAGAGAAAGUCAACAACAGAACCUCUUUAGAAGCUGCGUGGAAGAAAGAUGAAAGAUAUCUGCUGUCAGCGUUUUGUCAGUGGAUCCCUGAGUCUCUUCAUGCAGAGGUCAGUAAAAGCUGGCCACCGAUCUGACUCGGUGACCUCUGACCUGUCUGACUACAUGGCGACCUGCACUGGCCUUUUAAUCGUAAACGCAGCAGGACACGCGUGCCGUAAGACAUUUUUAAUGAACAGGAUCUUCCUGCUUGUGCCUCAUUCUCUGACAUCACACGGAUGGAUUCCUCUGAAAGCCUGUGGACAGAUGAAGACUUCCAGUGUAAAACGAUGUCAAGAUCUCACGCAGACUUCUUUUUGUAAAAAUCUUCAGAUCAGAACACCAAAACAAAUAAAUUCCUCUGUCUUUAAACAAGCUU